rfam:Solanum tuberosum cultivar DM 1-3 516 R44 scf00260_54, whole genome shotgun sequence.
GAGAGCCAUGUGAUGUGUGAUUAUCCAGCACGGUUCGGAGAGCACUUUUAGUCUGUGCUGGUGAAUUGAAGCCCCCCUAUCAAGCAAAAAGGACGCGGCUCUUCCUACGGCGAAGUAAUCAACAUUGACUCUAU